AUGUUGUCAAUGCUGUCCUCGUUUCAGAACUUGAGGCAUGUGAAUUCUGUCGCAGAAAUUUUGCACUAUUGUAGUAUUGUUUCAACACUGUUAAAAAUAGGAGCUGAAACAAUAAUGAAAUUUGGCACUAUUAUUUCGACGCUGUUUCCGACAUGGUCUGGGAUGGGUAGAAUAGUCAUGUUCCACUCUUGCUUCCGAGUGUAUAGCAAAAAGAGCCGGCGCAUUCGUCUAGGAAAACCAAGAGAAAAUCGAUGGCCAGUUAAGUUUCAGAGACAAGCAUACAGCCCAGGCAAUGGCAAAAUCCGCGCAUUCAUGGAACAACACAAGGAUUUGUUUAAGCUGUUGGCACAGCCCAAGGAGGAAGAAGAAAGGACACACACAAGAGCUUGA
rnacentral:rRNA from 1 species